rnacentral:rRNA from 1 species
UUAAGGUUCUUUAUUUGGAAUGAGUAAGUUAAACCCCUAACAAGUAUAAAUUGGAGGGCAAGUCUGGUGCCAGCAGCCGCGGUAAUACCAGCUCCAAUAGCGUAUAUUAAAGUUUGUUGCAGUUAAAAAGCUCGUAGUUAAUCUUCUGUUAAUUUUUAUAUAUAAUAUUUCGGUAUUUAUAUAAUAUUAACAUAAUUCAUAUUACUUUUUAGUAUAUGAAACUUUACUUUGAGAAAAUUAGAGUGCUUAAAGCAGGCUAUUGCCUUGAAUACUCCAGCAUGGAAUAAUAUUAAGGAUUUUUAUUCUUCUUAUUGGUUCUAGAAUAAAAAUGAUGAUUAAUAGGAACAGUUGGGGGCAUUUGUAUUUAACAGUCAGAGGUGAAAUUCUUAGAUUUGUUAAAGACAAACUACUGCGAAAGCAUUUGCCAAGGAUGUUUUCAUUAAUCAAGAACGAAAGUUAGGGGAUCGAAGACGAUCAGAUACCGUCGUAGUCUUAACCAUAAACUAUGCCAACUAGAGAUUGGAGGUUGUCCUUAC